rnacentral:rRNA from 1 species
AGGAAUUGACGGGGGCCCGCACAAGCGGUGGAGCAUGUGGUUUAAUUCGACGCAACGCGAAGAACCUUACCUGGGCUCGAAAUGUAGUGGAAUCCGGCAGAAACGUCGGCGUCUAGCAAUAGACCGCUAUAUAGGUGCUGCAUGGCUGUCGUCAGCUCGUGUCGUGAGAUGUUGGGUUAAGUCCCGCAACGAGCGCAACCCUUAUCUUCAGUUGCUACCAUUUAGUUGAGCACUCUGACGAAACCGCCUCGGAUAACGGGGAGGAAGGUGGGGAUGACGUCAAGUCCUCAUGGCCUUUAUGUCCAGGGCUACACACGUGCUACAAUGGCCGGUACAAACCGCUGCAACCCCGCGAGGGUGAGCUAAUCGGAAAAAGCCGGCCUCAGUUCGGAUUGGAGUCUGCAACUCGACUCCAUGAAGCUGGAAUCGCUAGUAAUCGUGGAUCAGCAUGCCACGGUGAAUACGUUCCCGGGCCUUGUACACACCGCCCGUCACAUCACGAAAGUGGGUUGCACUAGAAGUCGGUGCGCUAC